rnacentral:lncRNA from 1 species
GUCUCAUGCAUUUGGCAGGAUGUUUUAGAAAGAGGAAUGAGAAAAGGAAACCUUAAAACAAGAGACCAAGCAAUAGGGCAGCAAAGACAAAAGCCAAGUCACUCUAGUAAGGUAGAGGAAGAUGGUGAAUAAGUACAGAGAGAGAAAAGGCAGAAGAUAGGAAGUACUCCCCGGGAUGGCCAAAUGGCUCAUGACUUACCUCAACAGGAAGUGCAUGAUAUUGUGUCACCAAUCCAUCUGCAGCAGUAGCUAUACCAAUAAGAGCUAUGACUUUUUCCGGCCGUGCAAUUGCAGCAUGCAACAUGAGCCAUCCACCAAGACUGGAUCCAACCAGUAUCUAAAAACAAGUAUGCAUGACUUCAAAGAGGACUCUCAUACUCAAUAAAGAGAAUGAUUUAAUAGAAAUAUAUGGACUUUGUAUCUUUUAUAUCCUUGCAGAACCCAGACUUUUAAUAUGUAACACAAAGUAAAAGUCAAUUUAACUAACUUGUUUGUUUGUUUGUUUGAGUCAGGUUUCUACUGUGUUGUCCUGGAACUCUUUUUGUAGACUAGGUUCAUCUUGAACUCAGCAUCUGUCCCUGUAUCCCAAUAUAAUUAACUUCUGUAAAGUCAUUAUGUCUAUAAUAUA